rnacentral:rRNA from 1 species
GGGGAAUAUUGGGCAAUGGGCGCAAGCCUGACCCAGCAACGCCGCGUGAGGGAAGAAGGCCUUCGGGUUGUAAACCUCUGUCCUAUGGGAAGAAAAAAAUGACGGUACCAUAGGAGGAAGCUCCGGCUAACUACGUGCCAGCAGCCGCGGUAAUACGUAGGGAGCGAGCGUUGUCCGGAAUUACUGGGCGUAAAGGGUGCGUAGGCGGUUAUUUAAGUCAGAUGUGAAAUACUUGAGCUUAACUCAGGGGCUGCAUCUGAUACUGGGUGACUAGAGUGCAGGAGAGGAAAGUGGAAUUCCUAGUGUAGCGGUGGAAUGCGUAGAUAUUAGGAGGAACACCAGUGGCGAAGGCGACUUUCUGGACUGUAACUGACGCUGAGGCACGAAAGUAUGGGUAGCAAAC